rnacentral:rRNA from 1 species
UACGGAGGGGCUAGCGUUGUUCGGAAUUACUGGGCGUAAAGCGCACGUAGGCGGCUUUCUAAGUCGGGGGUGAAAUCCUGGAGCUCAACUCCAGAACUGCCUUCGAUACUGGAAAGCUCGAGUCCGGGAGAGGUGAGUGGAACUGCGAGUGUAGAGGUGAAAUUCGUAGAUAUUCGCAAGAACACCAGUGGCGAAGGCGGCUCACUGGCCCGGUACUGACGCUGAGGUGCGAAAGCGUGGGGAGCAAACAGG